rnacentral:rRNA from 1 species
CCCUUAGAUGUUCUGGGCCGCACGCGCGCUACACUGAUACGUUCAGCAAGUCUACCACCUCGGCCGAGAGGCCCGGGUAAUCUUCUGAAAGCGUAUCGUGAUGGGGAUAGAUUAUUGCAAUUUUUAAUCUUCAACGAGGAAUUCCUAGUAAACGCAAGUCAUCAACUUGCAUUGAUUACGUCCCUGCCUUUUGUACACACCGCCCGUCGCACCUACCGAUUGAAUGGUCCGGUGAAAUCUCGGGACGGCGGCUUGGUCGCUUGCGUCCGACUGCUGAAACUUGAUUAAACCAUAUCAUUUAGAGGAAGGUGAAGUCGUAACA